UUAUUAGAUAAUUCUCAAUACCAAAAAGACUAGGGAUGCAAAUGGAUCUGGGUUGGUGGAGCUUCCGUCCCAGUCCGCUCCGAAUGGGACGGUAAGUAAAAAUAAAAAAUAUAAAAAAAUAUAACUCAUUCAUUUCUUUCCUUCAAUCCGUCAUGAUCUAUCAAAAAACCGCCAAUUCGCUCCCGUCCCGAUUCGUCCCGAAUGGAGCGAUAAGUGGGAGUCAAAAAUAAAAUGAAAAAUAACUUAUCCCGACAAAAAAUGGAGCGAGAGGUAGGGUACCCUCUCGCCCCGGGAUCCGCCCCGUUUGCAUUUGUAAAACAGAGACUUACAACUAAAAAUAGAUGCAUAUAUGUAAAUAAUUAUGUA
rnacentral:lncRNA from 1 species